GACGAACGCUGGCGGCGUGCUUAACACAUGCAAGUCGAACGGAAAGGCCCUGCUUUUGUGGGGUGCUCGAGUGGCGAACGGGUGAGUAACACGUGAGUAACCUGCCCUUGACUUUGGGAUAACUUCAGGAAACUGGGGCUAAUACCGGAUAGGAGCUCCUGCUGCAUGGUGGGGGUUGGAAAGUUUCGGCGGUUGGGGAUGGACUCGCGGCUUAUCAGCUUGUUGGUGGGGUAGUGGCUUACCAAGGCUUUGACGGGUAGCCGGCCUGAGAGGGUGACCGGCCACAUUGGGACUGAGAUACGGCCCAGACCCCUACGGGAGGAAGAAGUGGGAAAUAUUGCACAAUGGGCGGAAGCCUGAGGCAGCAACGCCGCGUGCGGGAUGACGGCCUUCGGGUUGUAACCCGCUUUCGCAUGUGACGAAGCGUGAGUGACGGUAAUGGGUAAAGAAGCACCGGCUAACUACGUG
rnacentral:rRNA from 1 species